GGGCCCUUGUGAAAUGAGAAGAGGAAGUGCCUUUCCAGCUGAUGCAGCCCUAUGCCAGACCACAUGGCCUGUUACAAGGAAUGCUAAGGCUGCCUGGAUCUCAGCUCCCACUUUUCUUCUUUGCUAAGUACCCUGAUAAAGUCAACCCAGUGCAGAAGUAUUUUGGUGUUCCUGUAACCACCAGCAUGGCCAUGCUGGUGUGUACCAGCUUGGAAUACUAGCCCCUGCCCAAUGUCCCUGUGACACUCAGAUCAGUCUCCCAGGCCUUUCCCAUAGGGAAAGCAGGGAGUUUCAGACACACAGUGAGGAGAGCCGGGUGCACACUGUGAACACAGGGUGGGAAGAGCUGCACACACACACCGGGUCCCAUCUCCCUACCUCUCCCACGUACUCCAUGACGAAGCUGUUCUUGCGAAUCUUCUCCAGGGUGCGGACGCCCCAGCCACGCCCAUCAUCCGUGCGGAAGAUGCAGAGGUCAUAUCGGAUACCCUUCUGUACCACACGAUUUGGGCAGUCAUAGCCGCAGCGGCAGCGGGAGUUGCACUCGUAGAUGGGCAGCCCGGCUCGAAGCCGCACCUGGCCCUGGUCAUUGUAGGCAAACUUGUGCAGUGACGCCCCCGGGCAGCAGCCUCCAGUGGGUGCCCACAGACAGUCCUGGCACUCGCAGCCCACAGCCACCUGGUUGAGGGUGAUGCCCUCACCAACACGGUACUCAUUGAUGUACACGAAGGCCCGCGGAGGGCCGUCCAGGUCCACCUCAUUCUCUACAGUGAUGCGUCCCAGAUGGCUGCGCUUGGCAUUGAGCUCCUGCUCCCAGCGACGGAGCGCCCGCCUCUGCUUGGCCUUCUGCACCAGGUAGUUGGCCAAGCUUGGGUCCAGGUGCCGGGGGGUCUUUGACCGGUGGUGCCGCCGGAGCAGCUCCCUUUCUAAGUCCUUGUGGAACUGCUUGAGGAUACGCACACACUUGAGAUUCUGCCGUGGCUCCCAGGUGCUCUCUGAGUCUGGAUAUCCACGCCAUUUCACCAGCUCCCUCCCUUCUAGCUGUUCAGACCGGAACUCCUGGAGUCAUCCUUGACUUCUCUUUUGUUCACACUUCCGACACCCACCCUCUGCACAUCCCGUUGGCCCCACCUUCAAAAUACGUCCAGUGACAAACCAUCAUCACUGCCACCACCCUGGCUCACCUGGACCCUGACAAGUCCUUGCCUGUUCUAGGCAGCUUACAUGUAUUAUUAACUAACUUAAUCCUCACAACCCCACAUGAGGUAGAUGCUCCUAGUUAUCCCUCUUUUACGACAAGGAAAAUGAAGUACUGAAGGUUUGGGUAGGUAGCCUGGGGUAACACAACCAGGACUGGAACCCAAGCAUGCUGACUCCAGUUUGUUCUCCUAACCAUCCUGCCACUCCCCCUUCUGGCAAUAACUAUCCCCAUUUCAGUUGUUAGGGGAUUAAAUGAGUUUCCGAGAGGAAACGCCUGGCACACUGAAAGUGCUCAAUAGCCAUUAGCUAUUGACAUUUCCACUCCAGGGUUCAGCAUCUCAAUCUCUGCAAUUACUUUGUAUUCCUAGGGAGAUGGGAAGAGAUUUAUUUGGGAAUUCAUUCCGGCUCCUGCCCAGAAAGCUACUUAGUUUCCCUAUCUGUAACAUAGGGAUAAAAGGGUCUAUUCAUCCUGUGUUUUCAGGGUCAAAGGAGAAAAUUCCCUUUGGAAACAGAUGUGGGCAGUUGGGGACAAGAGGGCAGGACACUAACUUCCUUGUGACCUGUCCCCUCCCAGAGCAUGGUCACCCCAGACUCACGCGGAUCUUCUUGUAAUCGCACAGGUACUCGACUUCAAAGUCAUAGAGGUUCCUCUUAGAGAUACCGAGGGCAGGGCAGGAGAGCUUGGCCAGGCGGCACAGGUCCUGCAGCUGAUUCCAAGAAGACUUGCAACACACGCUGCAGCCUGGAUCAAGCGGGGCAGAAAGAACUAUUACUGGGCAGCCUGACUAGGCCAGGAGUCAAAGGGGACCCCAAAUCCUCCCUGGGACAUCCCAAAGACUGACUAAGAGUCAGGGAAAUUUAAUCCACAGGCCUUCCCCAGUGCUGAGACUGUUCUACAACAGAAAUGUGCUUUGAACCCCAAUACUCACUGCCCAAAGCUGCCCCUGGAGCAGCAGACCUCUAAGCGGGGUUUGCAACAUGAAUUGUCCUAAAGGAAUCUAUUUCCAGAGCUUCAAACUCCAUGUCAUUCCUAAAACUGCCUGCAAACCUGCUUUGGGUUCAGGACCUGAUCACCCCUCUCUCCACUUUGCAAAAGAAAGAGAACAACCCCCCAUCUCAGUAGGAUGCAGUGCCCCGAGGUGGGGCGGAUGGGAGGACAAGAUUAAAACCUCCAGGGCACCAAACAAAGGCGUAACUGGAAAGACUGGUCUUUAAUCCCUUAUCUCAAACUCCUGGGCCAGAUGUGUUUUGGAAUUCAAAAUUUUUUGGAUUUUACAAGACUAGUUCUAGGAUAUCCCAUACAUCACCUAACACCCCCAGCGUGGCCAGGGGACAUCAAGCUAUAAUCAAAUGCAUUAACCGUCCUGCAGCAAAAGUAUGAAUUUCCCACAUUAAAUAGGAGAAAUAGAGAUAUAAAAUAGCCUCACAGAAGAGUUCCACUUUAUAAUCUACUUUUGCCAUAAAUGGUGCCAAAUUUAAGAAAAGGAUUUCAGUUUUCAGGGCUUUUUAGAUUUCGGAAUUAUGAGCAAGAGAUUGUGGAAUGAUACUACAUUACAGGAAGGCUCCUUAAAUGAUCAAUCUGGGUGCCUUAAAUCCACAAGGUAUAUUUUUUCACACUGCAUUUUGACUUUCUGUCUCAUCCAUCUUUCUGUGAAGAGUAAAGCUCAUCCAAAGGGUUAUGCUCUGAAUUUAUACGCAAAGCGGUACAGAUUAGUGACACUGAUUCUUUUAAAUAUACCUGGUAUAUUUCUGGGACUGCCAAAAUUUUGUAAGACACACGGAUUUUAAAAAACAGAUUUCUUUCUGAUUCAAGGCACAUUCUUAAUCAAAGUACUUUAGAAGCCAUUUUAUCAAAUCAUGUCUCAAAACAUUCCAAGGGCAGUCAGUCCUCAUCCUAUAUCAUCUUUUUAAAAUGUUUAAUAUUUUCUGCCUCCCAUUGCAAAAAUCACACCUAAACUUUAGAUGUCAACCUAAAAACGUACAAGAGCUUUUCAAAAUUAUUUCGUGUGCAAGCCCUACCCCCCCUACUUAGGCAAGACCAAGUGGAGACUGAGCCCGCCUGUGCCCACGCUUUCCUCUCCCUACAGCCUGUCCUCGCAAACCCCUUCCUUCACUUGCAUUUGAAACCCCACUUAAGUGGUCCCAAUUAACACCCUCCAGCUGCUGGCUCCGGAACUGGCCACAGGUGGACUCUCCUGAACCCCUCAGAGGUCCUCCCACUUGUGGAACCCAUCCUCCCUGCGGCUUUCGUCACAUAGAGGGGCCCCCCAACAUAACUGAGUCACCCCUCUUUCCCUGCACAUGGGGGAGUCCAGCUGUCCUAUUAGGAAGGCCCCAUUUCUCUCUUCUGGGAGAUCCUCUAUUCCAAACCCUUCCCCCAUCACGCCGAGAGGCGAUACUUUCCCCCAGAAGAGUUCUCAGUCCCCGCACUCUGAAGGGGGGGUCUGUCCCCCUUAUCUUCCCUCCCCUUCCGGCGUCUCGCGUGGACACCGAAUGGGUAACGGUCACCAGGGGCCGAUUUUCCCGCGCGCGGGCGCGGCCUCCUCGACAAGCCCCCGCGCGUGCGCGCGCCGGUCCGGCCGCGAUCUGCAGCGCGCGCCCCCCUCCUGCGUCCCCACUUAGCCCCAGGCCCGCUGCGUUCCGAGGCGCGCGCCCCCUCCCCUGAGCCCCGCCCAGCCCCGCGCACCAGGCCCGCGCUCCCCGAGCCUCAUCCUUUCCGCGCCGAGCUUCCGGCUCCCGGCGCCGGGGCCUCGGACGCCGGGGCCCCGAGCCGGCAACGCCACCCCUCCAGCCCACCCGGCCCGGCCAGCGGGCCCGCGCCUCUGCCUCCACUGCUUCACCUUUUAAAUUUUCCGCCAUCUUUCCCCACGGCUAACGACAUUCGGGCCUA
rnacentral:lncRNA from 10 species